AUGGCCGUCGCCGACGCGGUGCUGCCCUCGCCGCCGCCGCCGCCGCAGCCCCCGCCGGCGCGGACCGUCGUCGUGCGCUUCGCCCUUGCCUGGAUGCUGGCGCUCGGGCUCGUCCUCUGCGUCGCGGCGAAGGCCCUCGCCUGCCUGGGCUUCGCCACUGCGUGGGUCGCCUCCGCGGCCUCGGCUGCGAAGGUCGUGGCGCGCCGCGCCUGGGGCGAGGGCUCCGCUCCCUUCCUCUUCCUCCAGGCGCUCACGUACGGGGCUCUCAAGGUCUGCGUCUACAACUUCCUUGUGUUGCUCGCGCUUGUCGUCCUGCAGCUGUGCGCCCAGCGCGUGGCCUACGUGAUUGCACUUGUAUCUGGCUCCACUUCGGGAUUCAAGAAGAGCGCCUUAGGAGCAACCAGGCCGGUGUCCGUUGCACGCUUCUUUAGGCUUCUGCGGCCCAUGGUGCUUGGAUUUGUCGCAUACGUGGCCUUUAUCCUGCUAGUGGUUGCUGGUUUUCUGGUAGCAAUGAUGUCGCCACAUGUGGAGGGAUCGAUGUCUCAGGGGGAAGUGGUUGGUUCGGUGAUCAUGGAUGUGGGGAUAUUUGGUUCGCAUGCGACAGCUUGCUUUGUUAUGAUGCCAGCUCUCGUUCUUAGUUUCUGGAGGGAGUACCAGGCAGACAGGAAAGCACCAUCGCAGUUCUGUUGA
rnacentral:rRNA from 1 species